CCUCAUUCUUCAAUGUGACUGACUGAUGG
rnacentral:piRNA from 1 species